AACAUUGGUCAAUGGAGGCAAUUCUGAACUAGCCAUGCAGCGUGCAGGAUGACGGCCUUAUGGAUAGAAAAUUGCUUAUGUACAGGAAGAAAAAGAGUUAAGAGUAGCGUAUUGUUGGAAAAGUAAGAAUAAGGAUCGGCUAACUCCGAGUUAGCAGCCGCAGUAAUACGGAGGAUCUAAGCGUUAUGCGGAAUCAUUGGGUUUAAUGGGUCCGUAGGCGGCCUGAUAAGUUAGCGGUGAAAGUUUUUGGCUUAACCAAAAAAUUGCCGUUGAUACUGUAGGGCUUGAAUUUUUGUGAAGUAACUAGAAUAUGUAGUGUAGCGGUGAAAUGCUUAGAUAUUACAUGGAAUACCAAUUGCGAAGGCAGGUUACUAACAAACGAUUGACGCUGAUGGACGAAAGCGUGGGUAGCGAACAA
rnacentral:rRNA from 1 species